GUUGUUGCUGUUGUUGCUAUUUCUUGGGCCGCUCCCGCGGCAUAUGGAGGUUCCCAGGCUAGGGGUUGAAUCGGAGCUGUAGCCACCGGCCUACGCCAGAGCCACAGCAACACAGGAUCCGAGCCGCGUCUGCAACCUACACCACAGCUCACGGCAACGCCGGAUCGUUAACCCACUGAGCAAGGGCAGGGACUGAACCCGCAACCCCAUGGUUCCUAGUCGGAUUCGUUAACCACUGCGCCACGACGGGAACUCCUCUCUUGCUUUCUAUUCCACACCCACACACACACACAAUUUUAUCUUCUUUCUUCCUGUCUUUCAUUUUCCAGCCAUAUUCUUACUCAAAAUCAAAUUAGAAGUAUACGACUCCUAGCUGAAGUAUGUACCUUCUCUUGUUCAAUCACCCCAAAGAGUGUUGCAUAAUGUGCCGAAGAUAUGUGUUGUUCUGAAAGUAGGUGGCUUAGCAAAGAAGCAAAACCCAAAGAGAUCAAAAAGGGGCCCUUCACCUUUCACUCACCCAACCAACCUGUCGACAUUUUAUUAACUGAGUAACUAUUACGUUCCCAACACCAUACCUGACUAGAAAGGGACCUAUAAAAUACAAAGCCACAAAGGGCCUAAAAACCCAAUGCUCCCCCACCAACAGUGCACCACAGACAACUUUCUCACGCUUCAAGGUUCAGCUCAAAUGUCACCUUCUCCGUAAAGCUACCCAUCCCUGCACCCACCAUAAGUACAUAACUCAGAACCUACUACUUCCCAAGCACAGUAUUAACAUGCUUUCCUCACAGCACUUCUGGAAGGUAGGUGUUACUAUCAUCAUUUCUCCUAUAAGGAGACUGAGACUUCAGUUUCUAAAUGACUUGGAUAUUGUCACAUAGCUGUUUUCGGACAGAGCCAGAAGUGGCACCCAAGCCUGACUUCAAAAUCAGUGAGAUUUACCUUCUCUCUGUUCCAAAAUGCAUCCUAAAGGAGUUGGUGCUUUUUCCUUAAACGUCUCAUAGUCUUGUUUAUAGCUCAGGUACAGUAAGUAGCAUCCUGGCAUUGAUUUUGAGCUACUUAAGGCUAACAAUUAAGUCCUACUCAACUCUGAGUCCCUAGACUUCAGCAGAGUAACUGCAAAUACAGUCAACCUUCAUUAUUCAUAAAUUUUCUAUUUGACAAUUUAAUAAAAUGUAUUUGUCAUCCCCAAAUCAACAAUAGGGGCAUUUUUGUGAACAUGCAGAAGAUGAAAAUUUUGUCACCCAACUUAAACAAUGCCAGCUGAGAUCCAACAAGAGACCAUAUGCUGCCAUCUUGUUUCUGCUCUUACACUGUGUCCUUCUGUGGUCUAAUACAAAGUUUUCCACAACUUUGUGCUUUUUGUUGGUGAUUUUGUUGGUGUUUAAAAUGACCCCCAAGCAUUGUGCUGAAGUGCCAUUCAGUGUUCCUAAGUGCAGGAAGGCUGUGAUGUGCCUUACAGAGAAAGUAUGUGUAUCAGAUAAGCUUCCUUCAGGCAUGAAUUUUAGAGCUGUUGGCUGUGAGUUCAGUGUUAAUAAAUCAACAAUAUAUUACAGUCUCCUUAAAUAAAAACAUAAAUAAAAUAAAUUUACGUAUUGACUGAUUUACAGAAAUGCUGUGACCAGAGACUCUUAGGACCUUAACACUGUAUUUUCCCAAAGAGUAAUGGUUUAGUAUUACUAAUUCAGUGUUCUUGGUGACUUUGGAGAACAUAACAAUUAGUAAUGUAAUAACAAUUAGUAAUAAGAACCAACUGCAGUACGUGACACAGAAAUGUCUGAUGAAAAGAUGAAGGAAAGAAGACAUCUGUUGGAGAAACAAAAAGCUGCUUCAUGAACCCACAUGAAGCCAAAUAUAUAUAGAUUUUAUACGGAUAUGAUCAGUAUCCAUACUGAUACUGAAAACAGAUUAUCAUACAAUAAAGAGAACAUACAAGGGGGAAGAGGUGAUGAAUGUACGUUUCCUACUCAAUAGGAAGAAAAUGCUCCAUGACAAUUUCCUUCCAAAAGAAUGAAUAUUUAUUAUGCAAAUUCAAGCAUAUCUGGCUGCCCUGAAUACUCCACAAUUAAUAACUUUUCUCUUUGUAUCUCAUUGAGCACAUUAAACACUCUGUUAUGUUUUACAUUUUCCAAUACAUAAUAACACAUUGUUUAACCACAAGUGUCUUCAAGGGCCCACUAUAAUUCUUUUCCAAAUUCUUUAUUACUACUUUUUCCUUACUAAAAAAAUGGUGUAAUUAUCUCCAUUUCUUUUUUAAAAUGCACUAGAUUAUUUAUCUUUGAUCUCUUCAUAAGCCAAGGAGAGGAGACCUUCCAAUUGACUUUGUAAAGCAGAUUCUACCCUGUUGCAUGAUGGAAGAGGGCCUGACCUGACAGUUCCUUAUCCAUAUGAUUGUGGUGAAAGCAGACAUAACAUUAUGGCUCAAACAGAACAAAGAUGAGCUUACAAAGUACAUGGUUUAAAGAAUUCCAGAGCUUUGGGACACAGAUCUCUUUUUUCAAGACACAAAUCUCAUGUAACCAUAAUCAUGAUUGGUGGUAAGGAAGUUUAAAAACAGAGUGUCCCCCAAACCCUCCAGACUUAGUUACGCCACAGCUAAAUCAGGUGAUUCCAACACAUGAUUCACAUCCCACAAAAAAAAUGAAAUGUUUACAAAAAUAAGACUCCCAAAAGACAAAGUAGCCUUUUCUCAAAAUUCAUUCAAAUUUUUAAGCCAAUCUUUCUAUGUUUUGUUUGCCAUAACUACCAUGUUUCCUAUUCGAAAAUAAAAGGUUUAUACAAACACACACACACACAGUUUUCACAUCUAAGUUUUAGCAUUCCGACAUAUUCUAAAUGCAACUUUGCCUUAGUAGAUGUAGGUCAUAAGUCAAGACUAUUACUAUAGUGAUGUGUACAUACAGAGAGUUUUUAUUAUGAAAAUUUUCAACAAUAAACAAAAACGGGAGAAGAAAUUGCAUAGCAAACUCCCAUACAUCAAUCUCUCAGCUUCAAAAAUUAGAGAUAUGGGAGGGGGAGGGAGUGGGAGGGAUCAGGAGCUUGGGCUUAUCAGACACAACUUGGAAUAGAUUUACAAGGAGAUCCUGCUGAAUAGCAUUGAGAACUUUGUCUAGAUACUCAUGUUGCAACAGAACAAAGGGUGGAGAAAAAAAUGUAAUUGUAAUGUAUACAUGUAAGGAUAACUUGAUCCCCUUGCUGUACAAUGGGAAAAUAAAAAAUUUUAAAAAAAUUAGAGAUAUUAGUUAGCAAUUGUAUUUUUAAGUGCAAAGAAAAAAUCACACAGUAUACUUUUUCCUGCCUUCAACUCUGGAAACAAUAUCACCACCAAGAACAACACUGUAAUAUAUGAGCUGUUUGACCUGCAAACACAUUAAAUUUUGACCUGCAAUGCCUAGGGGAGUAUCUGCAUAGAGCAAUUUUCCUAAAUCCCUUGUAUAAUAAAAUUGAUGUUAAAAAUUCAUGUUGAGAGAGUUCCCAUCAUGGCACAGUGGUUAACAAAUCCGACUAGUAACCAUGAGGACACAGGUUCAAUCCCUGGCCUUGCUCAGUGAGUUAAGGAUCUGGCAUUGCCAUGAGCUGUGGUAUAUAUAUAGGUAGUCAUAGAUAGGGCAAGUGUGAGAAAACAUUAACAACUGUGGAAUCUAAGUAGAGGGUACAAGGAU
rnacentral:lncRNA from 1 species